AGUGGUCUACAGCAGUUACACACAGGCAGUGGUAUCUGUGAGCAGCUCUGUGGACUCAAAGGUUUUCUCCCUGAGAGGCACGACCCAGGCCAGCUGAUUCAUCAGAAUCAGGUGAGCGUGACCUGCUCUCUUCCCUCCAGGCGGACUUGGGGGCAGUGGCUACGGUGCGGGCGGUGUUGGCCUCUGUGGGGCAGCUACCGAGGAGGGUCAUCCCUGAGCACUCACCAGGCGCCCGUUCUACACUGCCCGUGUAGACGAUUGGCUCUUUCGUCUCCAUGGUGGCUUCGUAGAGUGGGUGCUGUUCCCAAAUGUCCCCAUUCGACAGAUGAGACGUCUGGGGUCAGAGAGGCAGUAACCGGCCUGGGAAUCCGGACAUGACCCUGAGUUUUGCUCUCAGCCCUGCCGUGUGCUGUGCUGGAAUUCAGGCCUGAACCCUGUGACCUCCCUGCCCUAGAUCCCAAAUCUGCCCAGGUUUCCCAUCCCGAUGGGGCAGAGCCUGGUCCUGGCAGAGCCACUGGUAUAGAGCCACUGGUACAGAUCCACUGACGGUCCUCAGAACACCUCUGUGCCCUAAGCUGGGUCCUGAUGGUCGCUGUGGGCCCCACUGAACACACAUGGUCCCUUGUCCGGGGGAGCCUGCUGCCCUUGGGCAGCUGUGGAAAAUGAAGGAGCCCUGGAGGGCUGGCUGAGGGGAGACUAUCUUCCCUUGUGUUCAAAGGGGUCCGGGCACUAGGGUUCUCCCCAGGUAUUUCUUGCUCUGCGUGGUCCUCUUGAGGCCUCGCCCUCCUUUUGCCUCGAGUAUUCCCAGGAGGGACGGUCCAUCCAGCUGUUCUCCAGGACCAAGGACCCACUGUUCUUCCUCAGUGACCCAGGAAAAUGAAGCCUCCUCCUGUUGGGACGGCUCAGAAUGGUGGACUCCACAGUCCCUCCGCGAGAGACGUGGUUUCCAUGCGUACAAUAGAUCUUUCUCAUCCCCCAAACCCAACACCCUCCUGCUCAACAGGCGUUAUUCCUAAAGUGGCUUCACUGUUCAGACUGAAGAGCCACGGUAGCCAAAGUGAUGAGCGGAGUAGAACCGAGCAGUCGGGAGAGAUCUUGUUCCCUGUAGGAAACUGGGCAUCGCUGAGGCCCUGAGCAUCCCAGGAGGCCGAUUGCACAGAGACCUCUGGUCGCUGACCCCAGUCUGCCUCCACAUCCCUGGAAUAGCCCAUCAUGGGCCCUUCACCCUUGGCAGGUGGAAACCAUUCAACCUGCUGGGGCCGGUGUGUCCCCAUUUCAUGGCAUUGGGGGACAACAGGAUUCUCUGUCUAGGUCCCACUGUACUCAAGUCCUUGGGAAGAUGCCCACCCCUGCUUGGGACUUGAGACUCCAGAGACUGGAGCAGCUGUGGGCCACUGGGUCUGGCCCCUUUUUCCCUGGGGGCGGCGGUGGAAUGGGGGUUACGCAGCCAGCCAGCAUCUGGGAGCCCGGCGAGAGCGGUUCAGGUGUUCUCCGAAGCCGCCGCGUACGGUGUGACCUUUAGACAAUUCUGUCUCACAGGAUGGACGUGGUAGAGGUCGCGGGCAGUUGGUGGGCACAAGAGCGAGAGGACAUCAUUAUGAAAUACGAAAAGGGACACCGAGCUGGGCUGCCAGAGGACAAGGGGCCUAAGCCUUUUCGAAGCUACAACAACAACGUCGAUCAUUUGGGGAUUGUACAGUCCUGCCCCUCCUGGGAGUCAGCCCCACAGGAAGGCCCUUGUCCUCCCUUCCCUGUGCCUUCUCCUGGGCUGAGCCCUGAGCUGGAAAGGGACAGAGCCAGUCCUUUCUGGGGGUCGGCACCCAGGCUGGGGCCGCUCCAGGCCCCGUGCAGUUCCUCAGCUCUGCCUGGGUUGCCUUACAGUGAGACGGAGCUGCCUCCUCUGACUGCGCGGGAGGCGAAGCAAAUUCGGCGGGAGAUCAGCCGAAAGAGCAAGUGGGUGGAUAUGCUGGGAGACUGGGAGAAAUACAAAAGCAGCAGAAAGCUCAUAGAUCGAGCGUACAAGGGAAUGCCCAUGAACAUCCGGGGCCCGAUGUGGUCAGUCCUCCUGAACACUGAGGAAAUGAAGUUGAAAAACCCCGGAAGAUACCAGAUCAUGAAGGAGAAGGGCAAGAGGUCAUCUGAGCACAUCCAGCGCAUCGACCGGGACGUAAGCGGGACAUUAAGGAAGCAUAUAUUCUUCAGGGAUCGAUACGGAACCAAGCAGCGGGAACUACUCCACAUCCUCCUGGCAUAUGAGGAGUAUAACCCGGAGGUGGGCUACUGCAGGGACCUGAGCCACAUCGCCGCCUUGUUCCUCCUCUAUCUUCCUGAGGAGGAUGCAUUCUGGGCACUGGUGCAGCUGCUGGCCAGUGAGAGGCACUCCCUGCAGGCUUGUUGGGAGACUUUAGGAUGUCUCUGCUGAGGGUCCCACAGGAGUCCACGGCUGACCCCCAAAGCCCAAAUCAGACGCCUCUCAUCCCCAUCAGCAGAGGGCAUCUCAUCCUCCCCGUGGCCACCCUCUGUGUCCUGGAGCCACGCCCUCCGGCUCUGAUUCUGUGCAGCUGACUCUCCCCUCCCUGAGAGUCCUCCUGCCCUCCAGCUGCCCGGGCUCCUGCUGCCAUCGGUGCCCACGAACGGGCCGACCAAGCCCAGGAUUUCACAGCCCAAAUGGCGGGACCGUCCAGGGGCUCCAAGACCAACAGGAGCAUGUGGUAGCCACGUCACAACCCAAGACCAUGGGGCAUCAGGACAAGAAAGAUCUAUGUGGGCAGUGUUCCCCGUUAGGCUGCCUCAUCCGGAUAUUGAUUGACGGGAUCUCUCUCGGGCUCACCCUGCGCCUGUGGGACGUGUAUCUGGUAGAAGGCGAACAGGCGUUGAUGCCGAUAACAAGAAUCGCCUUUAAGGUUCAGCAGAAGCGCCUCACGAAGACGUCCAGGUGUGGCCCGUGGGCACGUUUUUGCAACCGGUUCGUUGAUACCUGGGCCAGGGAUGAGGACACUGUGCUCAAGCAUCUUAGGGCCUCUAUGAAGAAACUAACAAGAAAGCAGGGGGACCUGCAACCCCCAGCCAAACCCGAGCAAGGGUCGUCGGCAUCCAGGCCUGUGCCGGCUUCACGUGGCGGGAAGACCCUCUGCAAGGGGGACAGGCAGGCCCCUCCAGGCCCACCAGCCCGGUUCCCGCGGCCCAUUUGGUCAGCUUCCCCGCCACGGGCACCUCGUUCUUCCACACCCUGUCCUGGUGGGGCUGUCCGGGAAGACACCUACCCUGUGGGCACUCAGGGUGUGCCCAGCCCGGCCCUGGCUCAGGGAGGACCUCAGGGUUCCUGGAGAUUCCUGCAGUGGAACUCCAUGCCCCGCCUCCCAACGGACCUGGACGUAGAGGGCCCUUGGUUCCGCCAUUAUGAUUUCAGACAGAGCUGCUGGGUCCGUGCCAUAUCCCAGGAGGACCAGCUGGCCCCCUGCUGGCAGGCUGAACACCCUGCGGAGCGGGUGAGAUCGGCUUUCGCUGCACCCAGCACUGAUUCCGACCAGGGCACCCCCUUCAGAGCUAGGGACGAACAGCCGUGUGCUCCCACCUCAGGGCCUUGCCUCUGCGGCCUCCACUUGGAAAGUUCUCAGUUCCCUCCAGGCUUCUAGAAGCAUCUGGGCCAGGGCUCAUGGCUGGAUAAUUUCCCUAGGCUUAACAACCCAAGCAAGCUUCGCAUCCUCGUUUUAUUUUUGGUUAAACUUAUGAAAAUGUAUUAAGAAAGAGUGCAGCUCGAGAGAGAUUCAGAGAUGGAACACACCAGACCCCAGAUCACAAAGCCAACCAUGCCCAGCCCCUCCCAGCACCCCCAGCCCCACGACCAUCGUUCUGAAUUCUGACGACACCGUGAGCCUGCCUUUGUACUUCAAACUCAUGGAAGGAUAACCACCUUCAUGUUUUGAAAUAAAUGUUUCCUGUUGAAAUGA